rnacentral:tRNA from 1 species
GGAAAUGCGACAACGAUGGAGAGUUGUGCUGGUCUGUAAAACCGGUGCCUUUAGGCUUAACUGGUUCGAAUCCAGUCUUUUCCA